UCUGUCCUACGGGACGCAGCAGUGAGGAAUAUUGGUCAAUGGCCGGAAGGCUGAACCAGCCAAGCCGCGUGAAGGACGAAGGUGCCAAGCAUUGUAAACUUCUUUUGUCAAGGGACAAAAUCAGGCUCGAGAGCCUGACCGAGGGUACUUGAAGAAAAAGCAUCGGCUAACUCCGUGCCAGCAGCCGCGGUAAUACGGAGGAUGCGAGCGUUAUCCGGAUUUAUUGGGUUUAAAGGGUGCGUAGGCGGUUUGAUAAGUUAG
rnacentral:rRNA from 1 species